GCGCUUGGUUUUCUUGCCCUCCCCCUCCCCUUUUCUUCCCGAACACAAAAACCGAGGCGAGUACGCUUAAGGUUUUGUGCACUCUCGCGCACAACUAUGGCUCAUGCCAAUGACAACAGCUCUUUGCGCGGCAUGACUGAGAGUGACUGGCGGCGGUUGCACAGCCGCAUCAUUCCCAAUCGUAUUUCGCUACCGGAAUUCAAGAGCAUCGUUUCGGACGGUACCGUGCACGAUCACUAUCUCGCCAAAGAUCUUCACAAGAUCAUGCAGGAGCUUCGCGAUCUCUUGUACGAGCACGGCGAGCUGCGCGAGGCCUCCGUGCUUCCCUUGAGCGGGAAGAAACAAGAGCUGUCGCGCGCGGCGGCGACAGCGGUUCGGCUGAUAGACUGUGGCGGCGACGCCAUUCCAGCUCUGCGUCGGCCCUCCGAUAUCAGCUCGGGUGCAGCAGGGGCAUUAGGUGACCUUCAAUUCUCCACCUCCCCCACCCUCGGCAGCGCCAGUGACACGCGACUCUCUGAUGGUGGAAAGGGCAGCGCUGCGGAUGCGCUCUCACUCCAGCCGCCUCAAGCGACGGCUUCAACUCUGUCCAUCAGCCCUCGGCGGUCUUCGCGUGUGCUGCCACUCACUGACCACAUUCAAGAAGAGGGGCAGACACUUGUGUCUGGUCACUCUCUCAACAUGGCGCCGCAGCCUACGGUUUUACCGCCUUCUUCAACGAGGGCCUCACCCGCCUCUUCACCACCCUCGACGCACGCGCGAGAGAAGGCCCCGCCUCCUGGCGGUAGCACUUGUCCUGCACACGCAAGUGCCAGCACAGCAUCAGCAGGGUUUUCAACGCGCUUUCCAGCGUCACGGACGGCGAACGCGCGCGUCUCGUCGACCGUCGCCCACAACGCCGCAACUUCGUACGCUUUAGUCGGUGCGCCAUCUACUUCUUCAGCGUCCCCAGCAGCACCGCCGUCUCUGCUCACUGUGCCGCUUUCGACGCCCGCGUCGAACGAGAUCGCGCAGCUGAACGAGUCAGCGCCGCCGUUCUUUCGAAUCCUGAGCGUGCCGCGUCGAUUUCAGCUCCGCUUUGGCUCGUCGAUGCUGCGGUUCGAGAUCCCGGUGCAGUACGUGGACGGCGUCAAUAGCCGUCAGCUCCGCAUCUACAUGAUUCCGCUGCGGCACCCCAACACGCCAGCGCGCUGGCCGACGGCAAAGGAGAUUGUGGUGUACGUGAACAAGCAGUGCGUCAUGACACCGUGGAAGCGCUCGUGGCCGGACCGUGAGCGGGAGGUGGCCGAGACGUACCUGCCACUGGACAUCACGUACCUGCUGAGCCGCAACACCGAUGCUCAGCAUGUGCAGGUGGACAUUCACAACAAGGAGUACCAGACGCCCGCUAUUCUGGCGGUGGUGCAGCUACGAUCGCUGGAGGAGGUGACGGAGUGGAUGCUGUCCUCACGACUGGGUUGCCGGAAUGCGGUGCAGGCAAGACAAAUGCUGCUCAGCAGACCGUCCAGCGCCAAUGCGCUCGCGUCGACAUCGUCGGCAAGUCUGCUGCUGUCGAACAAUGCGGUGAUUCAGCGCACCUACGCGGCGAUCAUGGCAGACGACGAGGAAGACGACGGCCUCGAGAUGGACGAUCCCGUCAUCACCACAAAGUGCCCCAUUUCCCAGCUGCCUCUCUCCGUCCCGGUGCGCGGAAGCCGGUGCACCCAUCUGCAGUGCGUCGAUCUCAACGCGUUUCUCGUUAGCAGCAACAAAGCGUCCUACUGGAACUGUGCUCUCUGCGAUGCUGAAAUGAGACCGUGCGACGUGCGGGUGGACACAAUUCUGUGGAGUUACUUGUGCACCUUCGCGUCUGUGGCCGCCUACCCGCUGUACCUGCGCUUGUCGGCACGCGCUGCGCCGAAAGAGGGGGAGCCGAGGUACCACUGGCACCCCUCAACCCGAACCGGUGAGGACGCAGACGUCGUCUUGGAUGAUAGCGAGAGCGACGGCGAGAACGAGCGAACAAGGGACCCGCCGUCGGUUUCAGGGCCUGCAGCGGCUUCUAUAAGCGCAAGCUCCAUGGAAGCCACUGCGCCUUGUAGUGAAGCGACUUCGGUGUCGGCCCCGAACGGGGCACGGCUCCCGGCACCCCCAGCCGUUUCUCACAGAGGCGAGGCUUGGGCAGAAGGCUUGGGGCAUUUGCGGAAGCGUGGCCGUGACGACGACGCAUCAACUGAGGAGCCGCGCGGGACCGCUGACGAUCCAAUCGAGCUCUGAGAGUCUACGCUUGCGCGCUUGUGAAUUGCGUGUCGGUCUUAAUGUAUCUUUCUGUUAAAGAGAUGUUUUUCCUCUUCGCAUAGAUCUCUCUGGGCAUGGGUUGCCGACUCCAGCGUGCCCUCCAGAGGGCUCUUCAGGGGAGGGGGACACACGCACGCACGCACAAACAAACCUCUCCUGCCCUUUCGCUCAACGAAUAUCUUAAUCUCUCU
rnacentral:misc_RNA from 1 species